rnacentral:lncRNA from 1 species
CAUUUUUGAGGACGCUGAGACGGCAUGGCGUUUACGAGGACGGAAGUUGUAUUUUUGGCUUCGUUUAUUCUACAUUCAUAAAUGUACCGAUGAUUUGCCUGGAUCAUCUGACUUUUGGUUAAAUCACUGAAAAUACAACAAGUGGAUUUUAUUGGGAAAAAAAAACUAUGAUUCUUAUUUCCUUGGAUAAAGGAAAGAUUGGAAAACGGGGAAACGAUCGAUAAGUUUCAGAAUAACCGAAUAGGCCCCCAAGUAACAAGCGAAAAAUCUUUUUGUGGACAAAUCUUCAGGUCAAAAGAACACAAUAAAACGAGUACACACUUACCCCCUAGAGUUGACAGA